AUUGAACGCUGGCGGCAUGCCUUACACAUGCAAGUCGAACGGCAGCACGGGAGCAAUCCUGGUGGCGAGUGGCGAACGGGUGAGUAAUAUAUCGGAACGUGCCCGGUCGUGGGGGAUAACGUAGCGAAAGCUACGCUAAUACCGCAUACGAUCUACGGAUGAAAGCGGGGGAUCGCAAGACCUCGCGCGAUUGGAGCGGCCGAUAUCAGAUUAGGUAGUUGGUGAGGUAAAGGCUCACCAAGCCGACGAUCUGUAGCUGGUCUGAGAGGACGACCAGCCACACUGGGACUGAGACACGGCCCAGACUCCUACGGGAGGCAGCAGUGGGGAAUAUUGGACAAUGGGCGAAAGCCUGAUCCAGCAAUGCCGCGUGAGUGAUGAAGGCCUCGGUUGUAAC
rnacentral:rRNA from 1 species